rnacentral:rRNA from 1 species
AUAUCAGCUAGUUGGUAGUGUAAUGGACUACCAAGGCUAUGACGUCUAGGGGAGGUGAGAGCCUGACCCCCACCGAUGGUACUGAGACACGGACCAUACACCUACGGGUGGCUGCAGUCGAGAAUCUUCCACAAUGGACGAAAGUCUGAUGGAGCGACGCCGCGUGAUUGAUGAAGUCCCUUUGGGACGUAAAGAUCUUUUAUGAGGGAAGAAGUUUAUUGACUGUACCUCAUGAAUAAGAGGCUCCUAAUCUCGUGCCAGCAGGAGCGGUAAUACGAGAGCCUCGAGCGUUAUCCGGAAUUAUUGGGCGUAAAGGGUGCGUAGGUGGUUCUGUUAGUCUUUUAUUAAAGCCCCGAGCUUAACUUGGGAUAUGUAAAAGAAACGGCAGAACUAGAAAGUGCGAGGGGUGUACGGAACUCAUGGUGUAGGGGUGAAAUCCGUUGAUAUCAUGGGGAACACCAAAAGCGAAGGCAGCAUACUGGCACAUUCCUGACGCUCAGGGACGAAAGCACGGGUAGCGAAUGGGAUUAGAUACCCCAGUAGUCCGUGCCCUAAACGAUCCUGACUUGUUUUUUGGAGUAUCGACCCUCCAAGAGACGAAGCUAACGCGUUAAGUCAGGCGCCUGGGUAGUACGACCGCAAGGUUAAAACUCAAAGGAAUAGACGGGGACUUGCACAAGCGGUGGAUCAUGUGGCUUAAUUCGUCGAUAAACGAAGAACCUUACCAAGGCUAGAAAUCUAUGUGAAAGGCUAUGGAAACAUAGUCCCUCUUCGGACACAUAGACAGGUGAUGCAUGGCCGUCGUCAGUUCGUGGUUUGAAUUGUUCCCUUAAGUGGGGUAACGAACGCAACCCUCGUCGUGUGUUACAAGUGUCACACGAGACUGC